rnacentral:rRNA from 1 species
GCUUAGAGAGGGGUCAAUGUCCUAUCAGCUAGUUGGUAGGGUAAUGGCCUACCAAGGCUAAGACGGGUAGCCGGCCUGAGAGGGUGGUCGGCCACACUGGGACUGAGACACUGCCCAGACUCCUACGGGAGGCUGCAGUCGAGAAUCCUUCGCAAUGCCCGAAAGGGUGACGAAGCGACGCCGCGUGUGGGAAGAAGGCCUUCGGGUUGUAAACCACUGUCGGGAGUUAAGAAAUGCAAGGGUGUUAAUAGCAUCCUUGCUUGACUAAGGCUCCGGAGGAAGCCACGGCUAACUCUGUGCCAGCAGCCGCGGUAAUACAGAGGCGGCAAGCGUUGUUCGGAAUUAUUGGGCGUAAAGAGCACGUAGGCGGCUUUGUAAGUCAGUUGCGAAAGCCUUCUGCUCAACGGAAGAACAGCAUCUGAUACUGCAAGGCUAGAGUGCGGAAGGG